CAGUCGCCACGGGAACACGGAGGGUGCAAGCGUUACUCGGAAUUACUGGGCGUAAAGCGUGCGUAGGUGGUGGUUUAAGUCCGUUGUGAAAGCCCUGGGCUCAACCUGGGAAUUGCAGUGGAUACUGGGUCACUAGAGUGUGGUAGAGGAUAGUGGAAUUUCCGGUGUAGCAGUGAAAUGCGUAGAGAUCGGAAGGAACAUCUGUGGCGAAGGCGACUAUCUGGGCCAACACUGACACUGAGGCACGAAAGCGUGGGGAGCAAACAGGAUUAGAUACCCGCGUAGUCCCUGUCUCUUAUAC
rnacentral:rRNA from 1 species